GGGCCCGAUCUUUAUAACUCAUUGCAAACAAUUAUUCUCAAUUUUAGGAUAAAAAGAUUUGCAUUCACGGCUGAUAUCAAAGAAAUGUUUUUACAGGUAGAAGUGAGAAAGGAAGAUCUAAUGUCUCAACGGAUUCUAUGCAGGAGAAUGGAAAUACAAAUAGAACCAGAAGUUUACGAAAUCAAUGUUGUUUUCUUUGGAUCGACUUGUGGUCCUUGCUUGGCACAUGGAGCAAAGAACAGAAAUGCUCAUCACUUCAGCCAUCUGUAUCCAGAAGCAGCUCUAGCAAUAAUCGAAUCCCACUAUAUGGAUGAUUACUUGGGUAGUGCAGAUAGGAUACGCUAAAACGGACCAAAUAUUUGGACCCGAUUGAUGAUUCGGGUUUCUUCGUGAAUCGGCUGUGUCGUACAUCCUCGAGUUCCCGAGGAUCUGCAACUAAAAUCAUUACUUGACACUUGUCAAUUGGCAUGAAUAGACAAAGUCACAAUACAUUUGCCUCUAUUUGGGUAUAUUCGAAUUUUUCAAGUGAAAAAGUGUUGAAGAGCAAUUUUUAUUGCUUAAUUUAUACAAAUAUAUUGGUUAAUGAGGAAGAACAAAUUUUACCCAAAUUCCUAAAUUAUCUGAAAAAGUGAGCAGAAUUUGGCAGAUUGUUUCUAACGAAACUAAUCAUGGAUAUUUUUAAGUCAUUACUUUCAAAACCAACAGAGAAUAAUGAUGUGGCCUAUUGUUAAAGAAUAUGAGCAGGUAUUCAUACAAAUAUGGCGAUAAAGAGCUUGAAUAAAUAUCUGAAAUCUAAUAAAAUAGAAGGAAAAGAAAAUAAGAGUUGAAAAGCUAUCAGAUUUGUUGGAAGAAAUAGUUGAUGAGAAGAUGUGGAUGAAAAUUAUGAGCAAUGAAAGACCUAACUCUAACAACUAUCAACAAAAAAUUUCUGUUGAAUCUCAUAAAAAAGCAGAAACAAUGAAAGACUAAAUAGAGGAGGUCUGUACUCUGUAUAUGAUGAUAAAUAUUAUAAUACACAAUUUAUAUCAUCAUGUGAUCCAGAUUGUGGUUUAAGAUAUUGUAGUCAUUGUUAAAUAUGCUUGCACAAAUAUAAAUGUGAGUGUUCCACUAAUAGCAUCAAAGUUAUAUUGUGCAAGCAUUUGCAUGCUGUUACUAUGUUCGGACAAAGAAUCAACUCUGUUUCAGAUGACGACAACAAUUUAGAAAUUAAUGAGCCAUCAACAAGUUAACAAUAAUGAAGAUGUGGGACAUUUUAUAGAUUGAACCAUUUCUAGUUCACAAAAUUUCACAUCUAGAAGCAAUGACACAGAAAAUGAUUUGCUGAAAUGUGUAAAACAAUUGAAGACUCUCAAUCCAUAAGGAAAGAGGAGAUUAUUUGCAACUAUAGGGUCAAUGCCAAGAAGAACUAACAUUUAAGAAGUGAAAAUUGAGAAGCAAAUCUAUUUCCCAAGAAAAAAAAUGAAUACAGAGACUACCAGAACUUCAUAGCAAAUAAUUUAGAACAUUGAAAUGAGAUUG